UUAUUGGUCAAUCCAGGGUAAACCGAGAACGCACAAGAUGGAAUGGGAUUCACUUGUUUACCUGCUACUACUAUGUAUAUUACAGUCGUGCAUUGGCAUGGUAACCGGGACCUUCCAUCGUGAAGGAGGAGAAGAAUGGACAGAGUACGAGGGUGAAGCUAGAGGAGAUGAGAGAUAUUUCUACAAGUGAUGUCACAAUGACGUCACUGAUAUGUCAACGUUUCCUUGUGCGAUGUUGAUUAGAGCAGUAAUCAUUGUCCAUGCUGCAGACUGAAAUAAACCAG